rnacentral:misc_RNA from 1 species
GUGAAUCAUCAAAUUUUUGAACGCAAAUUGCACUCUCCUCUGAGAGUAUGCCUGUUUGAGGUCCAGCGUAUAAAAAAUCGACAUCGUUGCUGUUUCGCGGGGGCGUGCGGCGGAAAUUGGGUCAUCUAAAAUCCUUUUGAUUUAACUGUCUUAAAAUUUUCUUUUGGUUCCAUUAACGUUGCU